AAAGGCUUUUGAAAGAUCUUCAGAAGAUGGCCCUCUUCAAACAUACUGGGCCACUGGAGAUCUUUCACAGAGCUCUCCUGAAGUACCUCCCUAAAUACCAGGCCUUCUCCUACGAGGGAGAGGGCCUACCUCGCCAUCAUGGAACAUAAUGAGAACAUUGUGGCACGAGAACAAGCCACCAUGGCAACAGGAGAACCACGCGUCAAGCAGGUCUUCUGCAAAAAGUCAAAGCAAUGGAUAGUCAAGAAAAUCUAUAAGCCACACACCACCAAGUUCAUCUAGACACUAAUUGAGAAGGUCAUAGAAAACAGACGCAACCCAAACAUAACAUUCAAGGACUCAACCGCUUCACUCACCCAACCACAACCUCCUUUGCCC